rfam:Beta vulgaris subsp. vulgaris chromosome 5, whole genome shotgun sequence.
UGUUGAUGUGAUGAAUAUUGUCUCGGAAUUACAUAUGUCGACUUAAAAAAAUUCAGACUACAAUUAUCUGAUUCAAUG